CAGCAGCCGCGGUAAUACGUAAGGGGCAAGCGUUGUUCGGAUUUAUUGGGCGUAAAGGGCGCGUAGGCGGUUAAGUGUGUCUGGUGUGAAAGACUCCGGCUCAACCGGAGGAACGCGCUGGAAACUGCUUAACUAGAGUGAUGGAGAGGGAGCUGGAAUUCCUGGUGUAGGGGUGAAAUCUGUAGAGAUCAGGAAGAACACCGGAGGCGAAGGCGAGCUCCUGGCCAUAUACUGACGCUGAGGCGCGAAAGCGUGGGGAGCGAACAGGAUUAGAUACCCUGGUAGUCCACGCUGUAAACGAUGUGCACUAGGUGUUGGUCCGUUGAGGAUCAGUGCCGUAGCUAACGCGUUAAGUGCACCGCCUGGGGAGUAUGCUCGCAAGGGUGAAACUCAAAGGAAUUGACGGGGGCCCGCACAAGCGGUGGAGCAUGUGGUUUAAUUCGAUGAUACGCGAGAAACCUUACCAAGGCUUGACAUAAGCAUGACGGUUGUAGAGAUACAGCUUCCCUUCGGGGCAUGUUUACAAGUGCUGCAUGGCUGUCGUCAGCUCGUGCUGUGAAGUGUUGGGUUAAGUCCCGCAACGAGCGCAACCCUUGCUGUCUGUUGCCAACAAGUAAUGCUGGGGACUCAGACGGUACUGCCGGUGACAAACCGGAGGAAGGUGGGGACGACGUCAAGUCAUCAUGGCCCUUAUGUCCUGGGCUACACACGUGCUACAAUGGCCGGUACAGAGCGACGCAAAACCGCGAGGUGGAGCAAAUCGCAGAAAACCGGUCCCAGUUCGGAUUGAAGUCUGAAACCUGACUUCAUGAAGGUGGAAUCGCUAGUAAUCGCGCAUCAGCAUGGCGCGGUGAAUAUGUUCCCGGGCCCUGUACACACCGGCCGUCACACCACCCGAGUUGGGGGUACCCGAAGUCGCUCGUCUAACCUGUAAGGGAAGACGGUUCCCAAGGUAAUGCUGGUAAAGGGGGUUAAGUCGUAACAAGGUAGCCGUA
rnacentral:rRNA from 1 species